rnacentral:lncRNA from 1 species
AGAUCUAAGGCAUUAAUUUUAUAACUCAUGGGUUAAUGGGUUAACUUGAGUCAAGUCCAUUUAACUAGGUUAGACCUCGGGUUAGAAAUCAUUGAUAAUGGACCAUGUUAGUAAUUGAUCAAAUCUAAUUAAAAGUUAAUUCUGAUUGGGUCAAUUUCUUUUCUUGAUCAAUUUCAAUAGAUGUAGUUGGUCAAGUCUAUAUCUUUGAUGAGAUCAAUAUGGACUUUGAUCAUAGCUCCAUGGUCGAAUCCAUGUCUAUAAGUUGAUCAAAUUGAAAAUAACCAGUUGGUGUCUAAAGUAAGUAUGGCAGC